CCUCAGGCAACGAUGAGUAGCUGGUCUGAGAGGAGGAUCAGCCACACUGGAACUGAGACACGGCCCAGACUCCUACGGGAGGCAGCAGUGGGGAAUAUUGCGCAAUGGGGGAAACCCUGACGCAGCAACGCCGCGUGAGGGAUGAAGGCUUUCGGGUCGUAAACCUCUGUCAUAAGGGAAGAAAGGGUGGUGGUCUAAUAAGCCUCCAUUUUGACGGUACCUGCAAAGGAAGCACCGGCUAACUCCGUGGCAGCAGCCGCGGUAAUACGGAGGGUGCAAGCGUUAUUCGGAAUUACUGGGCGUAAAGCGCACGAAGGCGGCUUCGUAAGUCAGGGGUGAAAUCCCACGGCUCAACCGUGGAAUUGCCUUUAAAACUGCGGGGCUUGAAUCCUGGAGAGGGCGGCGGAAUUCCUGGUGUAGGAGUGAAAUCCGUAGAUAUCAGGAGGAACACCGGGGGCGAAGGCGGCCACCUGGACAGGUAUUGACACUGAGGUGCGAUAGUGUGGGGAGCAAACAGGAUUACAUACCCUGGUAGUCCACACCGUAAACGAUGGACACUAGGUGUCGGACAA
rnacentral:rRNA from 1 species